UACGAAGGGGGCUAGCGUUGUUCGGAAUUACUGGGCGUAAAGCGCACGUAGGCGGAUAUUUAAGUCAGGGGUGAAAUCCCCAGAGCUCAACUCUGGAACUGCCUUUGAUACUGGGUAUCUUGAGUAUGGAAAGAGGUAAGUGGAAUUGCGAGUGUAGAGGUGAAAUUCGUAGAUAUUCGCAGGAACACCAGUGGCGAAGGCGGCUUACUGGUCCAUUACUGACGCUGAGGUGCGGAAAGCGUGGGGAGCAAACAGGGAU
rnacentral:rRNA from 1 species